CCCCACCAUUUCUUCUGUUGCAACAUGAGUAUCUAGACAUAGUUCUCAAUGCUAUUCAGCAGGAUCUCCUUGUAAAUCUAUUCUAGGUUGUGUCUGAUAAGCCCAAGCUCCCGAUCCCUCCCACUCCCUCCCCCUCCCAUCAGGCAACCACAAGUCUCUUCUCCAAGUCCAUGAUUUUCUUUUCUGAGGAGAUGUUCAUUUGUGCUGGAUAUUAGAUUCCAGUUAUAAGUGAAAUCAUAUGGUAUUUGCCUUUGUCUUUCUGGCUCAUUUCACUCAGAUGAGAUUCUCUAGUUCCAUCCAUGUUGCUGCAAAUGGCAUUAUGUCAUUCUUUUUUAUGGCUGAGUAGUAUUCCAUUGUGUAUAUAUACCACUUCUUCCAAAUCCAAUCAUCUGUCGAUGGACAUUUAGGUUGUUUCCAUGUCCUGGCUAUUGUGAAUAGUGCUGCAAUGAACAUGCGGGUGCAUGUGUCUCUUUUAAGUAGAGUUUUGUCCGGAUAGAUGCCCAAGAGUGGGAUUGCUGGGUCAUAUGGAAGUUCUAUGUAUAGAUUUCUAAGGUAUCUCCAAAUGGUUCUCCAUAGUGGCUGUACCAGUUGACAUUCCCACCAACAGUGCAGGAGGGUUCCCUUUUCUCCACAGCCCCUCCAGCACUUGUUAUUUGUGGACUUAUUAAUGAUGGCCAUUCUGACUGGUGUGAGGUGGUAUCUCAUGGUAGUUUUGAUUUGCAUUUCUCUUAUAAUCAGCGAUGUUGAGCAUUUUUUCAUGUGUUUGCUGGCCAUCUGUAUAUCUUCUUUGGAGAAAUGUCUAUUCAGGGCUUUUGCCCAUUUUUCCAUUAAUUGAUUGGUUUUUUUGCUGUUGGGUCGUAUAAGUUGUUUAUAUAUUCUAGAGAUUAAGCCCUUGUCAGUUGCAUCAUUUGAAACUAUUUUCUCCCAUUCUGUAAGUUGUCUUUUUGUUUUCUUUUGGGUUUCCUUUGCUGUGCAAAAGCUUUUCAGUUUGAUGAGGUCCCAUGGAUUUAUUUUUGCUCUAGUUUCUAUUGCUUUGGGAGACUGACCUGAGAAAAUAUUCAUGAUGUUGAUG
rnacentral:lncRNA from 1 species